CACGUAGGGCGCAAGCGUUGUCCGGAAUUAUUGGGCGUAAAGAGCUCGUAGGCGGUCUGUCGCGUCUGCUGUGAAAACUCGGGGCUUAACCCCGGGCCUGCAGUGGGUACGGGCAGACUAGAGUGCGGUAGGGGAGACUGGAAUUCCUGGUGUAGCGGUGAAAUGCGCAGAUAUCAGGUGGAACACCGGUGGCGAAGGCGGUGAUCUGGGCCGACACUGACACUGAAUCGCGAAAGCGUGGGGAGCGAACAGG
rnacentral:rRNA from 1 species